UGACUGGGUUUUAUAAUCGACU
rnacentral:siRNA from 1 species